rnacentral:rRNA from 1 species
GACGAACGCUGGCGGCGUGCUUAACACAUGCAAGUCGAACGGAAAGGCCCUGCUUUUGUGGGGUGCUCGAGUGGCGAACGGGUGAGUAACACGUGAGUAACCUGCCCUUGACUUUGGGAUAACUUCAGGAAACUGGGGCUAAUACCAGAUAGGAGCUCCUGCUGCAUGGUGGGGGUUGGAAAGUUUCGGCGGUUGGGGAUGGACUCGCGGCUUAUCAGCUUGUUGGUGGGGUAGUGGCUUACCAAGGCUUUGACGGGUAGCCGGCCUGAGAGGGUGACCGGCCACAUUGGGACUGAGAUACGGCCCAGACUCCUACGGGAGGCAGCAGUGGGGAAUAUUGCACAAUGGGCGGAAGCCUGAUGCAGCAACGCCGCGUGCGGGAUGACGGCCUUCGGGUUGUAAACCGCUUUCACCUGUGACGAAGCGUGAGUGACGGUAAUGGGUAAAGAAGCACCGGCUAACUACGUGCCAGCAGCCGCGGUGAUACGUAGGGUGCGAGCGUUGUCCGGAUUUAUUGGGCGUAAAGGGCUCGUAGGUGGUUGAUCGCGUCGGAAGUGUAAUCUUGGGGCUUAACCCUGAGCGUGCUUUCGAUACGGGUUGACUUGAGGAAGGUAGGGGAGAAUGGAAUUCCUGGUGGAGCGGUGGAAUGCGCAGAUAUCAGGAGGAACACCAGUGGCGAAGGCGGUUCUCUGGGCCUUUCCUGACGCUGAGGAGCGAAAGCGUGGGGAGCGAACAGGCUUAGAUACCCUGGUAGUCCACGCUGUAAACGGUGGGUACUAGGUGUGGGGUCCAUUCCACGGGUUCCGUGCCGUAGCUAACGCUUUAAGUACCCCGCCUGGGGAGUACGGCCGCAAGGCUAAAACUCAAAGGAAUUGACGGGGCCCCGCACAAGCGGCGGAGCAUGCGGAUUAAUUCGAUGCAACGCGUAGAACCUUACCUGGGUUUGACAUGGAUCGGGAGUGCUCAGAGAUGGGUGUGCCUCUUUUGGGGUCGGUUCACAGGUGGUGCAUGGCUGUCGUCAGCUCGUGUCGUGAGAUGUUGGGUUAAGUCCCGCAACGAGCGCAACCCUUGUUCACUGUUGCCAGCACGUUAUGGUGGGGACUCAGUGGAGACCGCCGGGGUCAACUCGGAGGAAGGUGGGGAUGACGUCAAGUCAUCAUGCCCCUUAUGUCCAGGGCUUCACGCAUGCUACAAUGGCUGGUACAGAGAGUGGCGAGCCUGUGAGGGUGAGCGAAUCUCGGAAAGCCGGUCUCAGUUCGGAUUGGGGUCUGCAACUCGACCUCAUGAAGUCGGAGUCGCUAGUAAUCGCAGAUCAGCAACGCUGCGGUGAAUACGUUCCCGGGGCU